rnacentral:lncRNA from 1 species
AAUCUAUGCCACUUGAAGUAUCUAAAAAUCAAAUUUUAUAUCUUUUCGAUAUUGUUCUCUUGUCCAUCAAAUAGACACAAAAAUAAACAGCUGAAAAUGAAUAUUCUUUAAAAAUGAUUGUAGGAGUCAUGUAAUCAAGAUCAAGAGUAUAUAUCUUCUUCUAAAUAGUUUAAAAAAUUUUAUAACCAAAAUUCAAUUAAUUUGGAUAUCUUUACGCCGUUAUACGUUAAACAAGAAAACGUCUUAUAUCAACCACUAAAAUCAAUUGAUUUGUAUAAUUUUUACGCUGUUAAAUAAGAAAACAUCUUAUAUCAACCACUAAAAUUACAAAUUUUGAAAUUUCUUUGAUCAUGAGACCAAUGAUGUCGAAAAGAUUUGAAAUUUGAUUUUAGAUACUUUAAAUAGUAUAAAUCAUAUUCAACGGUGCCGAUCGUCGAUUUGGAGGCUUCCAUCAUCGAAAACAAAUUGGUGGCAACGGAGUCCGUUUGCUACCG